rnacentral:lncRNA from 1 species
UUGGCUCGCUCGCCUGCCUUUCCGGCGUCGUUUUGAUGUUCGAUCGGACGUACCAGUAGCCUAGUGUCUGUCUGUCUGUCCAUGAGUACUACUCUUAUUAAGCUGACCACCCCAUGUGGUGUUUGUACCGGUGCGGGUCGUGGUAGAGUUGAUGAGAUCUGGUAGGGAAUUCUUUCUUCCUUCUCGUAGCGGUGACGGUGUUCCGAGACAUAUAAUUAUGUGUUGUCGUUCCAACUUCGUCUGUUUCCAUGCCACUUUUGUGCCGCUAGCUCAUGAUCGUGGUGGCGUGUCUCGUGUUGUCUUUGGCGCUGGGCCGGUCGGUCACGGCUUCGCAUCAUCAGGUCGACCCGCCCACGAUGCCAUGAUCCGUGUGAGCAUGCACGGUGGAGUUUUGGGGGUUUGCGGUGCGCCGCGCUGCGGCGGCACAUGGAGCUUGGACGGAUGUCGGGCAAGGAAAAAUAUCGCCGCGAUCGAGGUCUGGUGCUCGGAGCCAGAGCGCAGAGUCCACUUUGAUCUGGACUCUUGUCUGUGGCGCGCACUACUGUAUCUCGAGCGAGCGGAACACGCCGACACCGACACAGGAAAGGCUCACGAGGCGCCCCACUGUGCCUCUGAUCUCCUCGGGGGCCGCGCGGUUCAUGACGGGACCAGCCGCGGGCGCAGCCAGGUGCGGGCACGGGAUUGGGGGUACCAGGCGGUGGUCUUCGGCGCGGUCUGGGCCAACGCAUGGAUCCACGAGCAUGGUUUGGGCCUCACGGGCCCUUGUGCUCGCCGCUCGUUGAGCGUGGGCUGGUGUUGUGCCUUGGAGGUGGCACAUUUAGCAGUUACAUCUUCUCUUUCGAUGCUAAAAAAAAAAGCAGUUACAUCUUCUCUCUCAAAAAAAAAUCAGUUACAUCGGCACGUCUAAAGAAAAGCAGUUACAUCGGCGAAGGAAAAUUCAAAAGCGAAAUCAGUAGUUCAGGGUUGUUCCGCAACUCCUUUCAGGGUUGUUCCGCAACUCCGCCGGCGAGUCCGGUCCGAGGUUGCGGAGCGAGGGAGCGCGUUGUAGACGAAGUAGUCGAACACGCAAAAGUAGAUGAACACAGAAGAAACUAGCUUUAUUAAUCAAUGAUCAACUGUUAUAAUGAUUGCUCCUCGUCGCUUUAUAUAGGGGUAGGGGGUCAAGGGAUAAGUGGGUAGAUGAACACAGAGAAAUAUGGAGGAGACUAGCUUUAUUAAUCAAUGAUCAACUGUUAUAAUGAUUGCUCCUCGUCGCUUUAUAUAGGGGUAGGGGGUCAAGGGAUAAAUACCCACUUAACGUAAAGUGUGGAACCGGGAGGGGCUAUCCCAUGCGAUACGCACGCAGUCGCUAGCCUCACGACGUGGGCCGGUUUCCCAACACUCCUCCUUGGGUAAUUAUCCGUAUAUACAUGUCGCAAAACUUCAAAAAACCCAGUGGGAAAAAACAUGAAGAAAGAGCAUACAUUAUACGUUGUUGUAUUGCACGAAUUGUCUCGUCAAAAACCUCGCGUGAGAAACAUGAGAAAAACUCAUUCAAGGGAAAAAGAGCACAAUCCACUCAACCAUCAAGUUGAGUACUCGAUCAUCAAGAUUGAGAUUUUAACCACGAGUUUGUGAAGUUUCUCCCCCUGAACCUUGCAUCUCUCUAAGUCUCAUCAUACCGAUUCCACGCACACACCUCUCUAAGGUUGAUGCCGGUAAUGAUUUAGUGAACAUAUCAGCAAGAUUGUUACAGGACUUAGUGUGCAAAACUCUCACCUCGUUCAACUACUGCAGCUCAUGUGCAUAGAAGAACUUGAAACUAAUAUGCUUUGUGAGGUUACUCUUCACAUAACCCAUCUGGACUUGUGCAACACAAGCAGCAUU